rnacentral:rRNA from 1 species
CCUACGGGUGGCAGCAGUGGGGAAUAUUGGGCAAUGGGCGCAAGCCUGACCCAGCAACGCCGCGUGAAGGAAGAAGGCUUUAGGGUUGGAAACUUCUUUUUUUAGAGAAGAAAAUGACGGUAUCUAACGAAUAAGCACCGGCUAAUUCCGUGCCAGCAGCCGCCGUAAUACGGAGGGUGCAAGCGGUAAUCGGAAUUACUGGGCGUAAAGAGCGCGUAGGCGGGAUAGCAAGUCAGAUGUGAAAUCCUUUGGCUUAACCAUAGAACUGCAUUUGAAACUGUUAUUCUAGAGUAUGGGAGAGGUAGGUGGAAUGCUUGGUGUAGCGGUAAAAUGCGUAGAGAUCAAGAGGAAUACUCAUUGCGAAGGCGGCAUGCUGGAACAUAACUGACGCUGAUGCGCGAAAGCGUGGGGAGCAAACAGGAUUAGAUACCCGUGUAGUC